CUGAACCAGCCAAGUAGCGUGAAGGAUGACUGCCCUAUGGGUUGUAAACUUCUUUUAUAUGGGAAUAAAGUGGGCCACGUGUGGCUUUUUGUAUGUACCAUAUGAAUAAGGAUCGGCUAACUCCGUGCCAGCAGCCGCGGUAAUACGGAGGAUCCGAGCGUUAUCCGGAUUUAU
rnacentral:rRNA from 1 species